rnacentral:tRNA from 1 species
GCCUGGGUGGCUCAGUCGGUUGGGCGUCUGACUUUGGCUCAGGUCAUGAUCUCGCGGUUCGUGGGUUCAAACCCCACGUCGGGCU